CCUACGGGAUGCACCAGUGGGGAAUCUUGGACAAUGGGCGAAAGCCCGAUCCAGCAAUAUCGCGUGAGUGAAGAAGGGCAAUGCCGCUUGCAAAGCUCUUUCGUCGAGUGCGCGAUCAUGACAGGACUCGAGGAAGAAGCACCGGCUAACUCCGUGCCAGCAGCCGCGGUAAUACGGAGGGUGCAAGCGUUAAUCGGAAUUACUGGGCGUAAAGCGCACGCAGGCGGUCUGUCAAGUCGGAUGUGAAAUCCCCGGGCUCAACCUGGGAACUGCAUUCGAAACUGGCAGGCUAGAGUCUUGUAGAGGGGGGUAGAAUUCCAGGUGUAGCGGUGAAAUGCGUAGAGAUCUGGAGGAAUACCGGUGGCGAAGGCGGCCCCCUGGACAAAGACUGACGCUCAGGUGCGAAAGCGUGGGGAGCAAACAGGAUUAGAUACCCGGGUAGUC
rnacentral:rRNA from 1 species